rnacentral:rRNA from 1 species
AUUGAACGCUGGCGGCAUGCCUUACACAUGCAGGUCGAACGGCAGCGCGGGGCAACCUGGCGGCGAGUGGCGAACGGGUGAGUAAUAUAUCGGAACGUACCCUGGAGUGGGGGAUAACGUAGCGAAAGUUACGCUAAUACCGCAUACGAUCUAAGGAUGAAAGUGGGGGAUUCGCAAGAACCUCAUGCUCCUGGAGCGGCCGAUAUCUGAUUAGCUAGUUGGUAGGGUAAAAGCCUACCAAGGCAUCGAUCAGUAGCUGGUCUGAGAGGACGACCAGCCACACUGGAACUGAGACACGGUCCAGACUCCUACGGGAGGCAGCAGUGGGGAAUUUUGGACAAUGGGCGCAAGCCUGAUCNAGCAAUGCCGCGUGAGUGAAGAAGGCCUUCGGGUUGUAAAGCUCUUUUGUCAGGGAAGAAACGGGUUUUUCUAAUACAGAGAUCUAAUGACGGUACCUGAAGAAUAAGCACCGGCUAACUACGUGCCAGCAGCCGCGGUAAUACGUAGGGUGCAAGCGUUAAUCGGAAUUACUGGGCGUAAAGCGUGCGCAGGCGGUUUUGUAAGACUGUCGUGAAAUCCCCGGGCUCAACCUGGGAAUGGCGAUGGUGACUGCAAGGCUAGAGUUUGGCAGAGGGGGGUAGAAUUCCACGUGUAGCAGUGAAAUGCGUAGAUAUGUGGAGGAACACCGAUGGCGAAGGCAGCCCCCUGGGUCAAAACUGACGCUCAUGCACGAAAGCGUGGGGAGCAAACAGGAUUAGAUACCCUGGUAGUCCACGCCCUAAACGAUGUCUACUAGUUGUCGGGUUUUAAUUAACUUGGUAACGCAGCUAACGCGUGAAGUAGACCGCCUGGGGAGUACGGUCGCAAGAUUAAAACUCAAAGGAAUUGACGGGGACCCGCACAAGCGGUGGAUGAUGUGGAUUAAUUCGAUGCAACGCGAAAAACCUUACCUACCCUUGAC